UACGUAGGCAGCGAGCGUUGUUCGGAGUUACUGGGCGUAAAGAGUGCGUAGGCGGUUUUCUAAGUUUGGUGUGAAAUCUCCCGGCUUAACUGGGAGGGUGCGCCGAAAACUGGAAGGCUUGAGUAUGGGAGAGGUAAGCGGAAUCCUGGUGUAGCGGUGAAAUGUGUAGAUAUCAGGAGGAACACCUGCGGUGUAGACGGCUUACUGGACCAUAACUGACGCUGAGGCACGAAAGCGUGGGUAGCAAACAGG
rnacentral:rRNA from 1 species